AAGACAAUUGGAAAUUUUACAGGAAAAAUGGUGAUCAUAGAGAACGUAGAAGUGACGAAAUGGGAAAUGGGAAAUCCCCAAACCCUAGCGAAGGACCAAAGUCAGGGGGUGUACGCUAGUUCAGGGGAAGCAAAAGCGAUGUAGUUGGAAAAUUUAUCAAGUACAGAAGGAGCAUAAGCUUACCGUGAAAUGGUGUUGAUGGAAUUGGAAAUGGUCAUGGAGGAAUUGGAGGUGGGAUAGGGGGAGGAAAUGGAGGAUUUGGAGACGAGGACGGAGGUGGAGGAGGUGGAAAUGGAGGUUUUGGUGCCGCUGCGGAGUAGGUGGGUGUGAGGGAGGGGCCAGAAAAAUCAUAGAGACACCGUGUCCAAAAAUUGACAGAUCACCCUCACAUAUGUGCACAAUUUUAACACCGUUAACGAUUUUUAACGAUAGGUGUUAAUUUGUUUAAAAUUAGCUCUUAUAAGGACUCAAUUGGGAAAGUUUAAAAGAAGGAGACCAGAUUGAGAAUACCUAACGAAAAUAGGAAC
rnacentral:lncRNA from 1 species